rnacentral:tRNA from 1 species
UGUGAUAUAGCUCCGUGGUAGAGUGUUUGCCUAGCAUAUAUGAGACCCUGGGCUCAAUCCCCAGCACCACAA